CCUGGCCUGGCCUCGGGUCACUGCAGCACCGGUGACCACUGGAUCCCAGCUGCCGUCCCAGUCCUGCUGAGAGGACUCCUCUCAGUGUCCCCUGUGCCCCACUGGGGAGCCCCAGGAUGCCUGUUCUGCUCACCCUGUGGGGCAACUUGUCACCUUUCAAGGUCUCCUGGUUGGAUACCCAUUUGCUGCCUGAACACGUGAGAUUUGGUGCCAGCAGACCAGAGGCAGCUCAGCAGCUCAUGAUGUUUACUGUUUUGCAUCAUUAUGACUAACUGAAAAACUAAAUAACUGCAGAUUGAAGUUACUGAAGCAUCAAACUCCUUGUGCAGACUGGAAAAAUCUGGUUUAUAUCAAAACUCCUAGACAUAAUUUCCAAACUCUGGCACCCAGAUCUGGGAUCCCAAAGCAUCUUAAGGUAAGCAGGGUCUUUAUCCACCAAAUUCACCAGUUUAACACUGGGACCCUAUUGCAAUCAACAAAAACAGGGGUUUUGCACUGUUUUUCUGUAGUCUCAGAUUCUAAUUUCCAUCUUAAUUAUCAGAGGAAUUUCCUGUAGCAGAGUGAUCUAAGCAGAUGGUGACAUCCACAUUCUAGUACUGUAGUACAUUCUAGUACUGUACCUUGAAUGCACUGUGAACAACAGGGCCAGCAGUCAAGUGUUUUUAUAGCUACCUGCCAAGUGCAGUCAUUUUAAAAUAAUUUCCCUUUCUCAAAGUGGUACUAAUUUUGCUCGAUUUCCCUAGGAAGAAAGGAUGAGAGAUCAUUUAAUUUAAGCACAGAUUUGGGUGUCAGGGCUCAGUGCCAACCUCUGUGAUAAACCUCCUCUAAAGCCAUGAGCACAUUUCACAACGGUUCUGGGGUUAGCUAGGUGAGAGUGACUGGUAUUUUCUUCCUAUUAAGUCCUGGGCUGAAAACAUGACACCUAAUUUGCUUGUAAACACCCAGCCACUAAUACAAUAUGCCCAAAAUCUCAAAACAAUCCAUUGCCACGCGUAAACUCGAAAGACAGCACUCAGAAGAUUAAUGUUUCAAAACUAAACUCUCAGGAGUCGAGGAGUGCUGGCAUGAAGGUUGCCCAUGCAAUCCCACUUGAGCCCUCUGGUGCAUUCACUUAAGGGUAUAGUCUUUAAUUACUGAACUGCAUUUGCUGCCAGCACUUCAUUCAGCAUUCCAGGUUUGAGAGGCUCACCCAUGACCCAGCAACUUGGCUUUACCCGCUCCGGUUAGAGCGCAGCUGUACGCAUCGUUUACCGAGUACCCUGAAGUUCCAGCUCAGAGUACAAAAAUUCUCAAUUUUGCUGGUAGAUUUCCCGUAGCAUUUAGUAUUAAGCACUCACUUCUGAAGGUUAUUUAUUUUCAGCAUCACUCUUUUGAUGAGAGAAGGGUACACAUCCUCUACUAUGCAGGUAAGAAGUGAGACAGAGCCAACAUACUAAGGCCAAAAAGUCUCUGUUAAUUCGAGGUAUCAAACUUAAGGUGUUUCUGGUCUAAUCUUUUUAAGAGCAUUCUGCAUUUCAUAGAACUUUGCAUCCCCAAAGCGAACCACAGACUCUACAGGCCUUUGCCACAGCAGACAACAUUCAGCACAUCUGCAGAAAAGAAAAAUGACAAAAACACCCCAAAUAAACAAACAAAAAAACCAAACCA
ensembl:lncRNA